ensembl:lncRNA novel transcript
GGAGGCCUGGUUCUAGCCCAAGCACAGUCUCCAGCUUAAGGAAUGACCUUAAGCAAGCACUUCUUCCCUCAGGGCAACAUUUAAAAAAAUAAGAAGAUUGGAUUGAUCAACAUUUUACUGCCUGUAUUUCACAGGACAUUCUCCUUUUAAUAUAUUUGCUUGAACCUUCUUGAAAACAGGACUCCAUGGACAAAUAAGGUCUAACACCAGCAAUAUUUACACACCGAAGGCACGAGUAUGGCCAUUUGGGGGGCUGUGAUAUUGUUAUUGAGGAGUUUUCCAGAGAUAACUAGACAAGAGCUAGAAAACAAUGGAAGGAACUUUAGAAGCUCACAGUGAGGAACAAGAUAAGAACUUCUACAGGAGAGAAGGAUGCAUGAGGCCAGACAGAAAAUUUUGCUGUUGAGAGGCACCAGCUUUCCCAGUGACUACUCUGGUGGACCCUGACAAGAAUCAAGUCAACAGGUUGUGAGGAAGCCUAGGAAAUAAGGAGAGUCCUAUGUAGAGCAGAACUGAGGCUUCUUGACAACAGCCAACACCAACGUGCCAGCUACAUGAGUGAGCAGUCUUUAAGUGGAAACUCCAGUCUUAAUCAGACCUUCAGAUAAUGCAUUCCUCGCUGACCUCUGCAAUCUCAGGAGAGACCACAAGCCAGAACCACUUAGCCAUGCCAUUCCCAAAUGCAGAAGCUGUGAGAAAUAAUAAAUGAUUAUUACUGUUUU